UCCGUAGGUGGCAAGCGUUGUCCGGAAUUACUGGGCGUAAAGGGCGUGUAGGCGGGGGAGCAAGUCAGAUGUGAAAUUCCAUGGCUUAACUGUGGCGCUGCAUCUGAAACUGCUCUUCUUGAGUGUCGGAGAGGAAAGUGGAAUUCCCAGUGUAGCGGUGAAAUGCGUAGAGAUUGGGAGGAACACCAGUGGCGAAGGCGGCUUUCUGGACGAUAACUGACGCUGAGGCGCGAAAGCGUGGGGAGAAAACAGG
rnacentral:rRNA from 1 species